rnacentral:rRNA from 1 species
GAUGAACGCUAGCGGCAGGCCUAACACAUGCAAGUCGAGCGGAUGAGGAGUGCUUGCACUCAGAUUCAGCGGCGGACGGGUGAGUAAUGCCUAGGAAUCUGCCCGAUAGUGGGGGACAACGUUUCGAAAGGAACGCUAAUACCGCAUACGUCCUACGGGAGAAAGUGGGGGCUCUUCGGACCUCACGCUAUCGGAUGAGCCUAGGUCGGAUUAGCUAGUUGGUGGGGUAAAGGCCCACCAAGGCGACGAUCCGUAACUGGUCUGAGAGGAUGAUCAGUCACACUGGAACUGAGACACGGUCCAGACUCCUACGGGAGGCAGCAGUGGGGAAUAUUGGACAAUGGGCGAAAGCCUGAUCCAGCCAUGCCGCGUGUGUGAAGAAGGUCUUCGGAUUGUAAAGCACUUUAAGUUGGGAGGAAGGGCUGUAAGUUAAUACCUUGCAGUUUUGACGUUACCGACAGAAUAAGCACCGGCUAACUUCGUGCCAGCCGCCGCAGUAACAC